ACGCUCGACACCUACGGGAGCCAGCAGUGGGGAAUAUUGCACAAUGGGGGAAACCCUGAUGCAGCGACGCCGCGUGAGCGAAGAAGUAUUUCGGUAUGUAAAGCUCUAUCAGCAGGGAAGAAAGUGACGGUACCUGACUAAGAAGCACCGGCUAAAUACGUGCCAGCAGCCGCGGUAAUCUGAGCGGGCUGGCAAGGC
rnacentral:rRNA from 1 species